AUAUCCUUGGGAGAUGACCUUUUAACCACAUGGCAGUACUUUCUCUUGGUCUCUGCUGUCACAAUGGCUGCUCAGGAACCAUCUUUGGAGUAAUCUGCCUUGCAACCGGAAUUUGGCUCAAAACAGAGUCAAGGUAACUUCUUUUAACCUACUUGCAGCUUUUGACAAUUAAGUAAAGUAUACUCCUGUGAACAAAAUUUGAAACAUAUUUG